rnacentral:lncRNA from 1 species
AUGACCCGAGGGAAUGGCCUGGAAUUGUAUCCGGGGAGGUUUAGGUUGGGUAUUAGAAAAAGGUUCUUCCCCCAGAGGGUGGCUGGGCACUGGAACAGGCUCCCCAGGGAAGUGGUCACAUCACCAAGCCUGACAGAGUUCAAGAAGCACCUGGACAACGCUCUCAGGCACGUGGGCUCUUGGGGCUGUCCUGUGCAGGGCCACGAGUUGCACCCGAUGGUCCCUGCGGGUCCCCUCCGACUCAGGAGAGGGUGUCACACCCCCGGCUCCCCCGCGCCGCUCCCAGCGCCUCCCGCCAGCGCCCCCUGCCGCGCCCCGCCGGCACCGCAGCAAUGGCGGCCCCCACGGCGCCCGCGUGACUCCGACGCCGCUGCCGCACAGGCCCACGGUGCUCUGUUCUGUGGGGAACUCGGUGGCAGGAGCACAGCCAGAGGAAAUGUGAAGAGGUAGGGCGAACAUAAAGCAAGUUGGUUGCAGUAACUCAUCCACAUGCGGUGUGAGGUGGCCCAAAACAAGUGUAAGAGACCAGGAAGAAACUUGCCUGGAAUCACCAAGAGCAUAAAAAGACAGGAGGAUGGAAAUGAG